AUUGAACGCUGGCGGCAUGCCUUACACAUGCAAGUCGAACGGCAGCGCGGACUUCGGUCUGGCGGCGAGUGGCGAACGGGUGAGUAAUACAUCGGAACGUGCCCUGUUGUGGGGGAUAACUAGUCGAAAGAUUAGCUAAUACCGCAUACGACCUGAGGGUGAAAGCGGGGGACCGUAAGGCCUCGCGCAAUAGGAGCGGCCGAUGUCUGAUUAGCUAGUUGGUGGGGUAAAGGCCCACCAAGGCGACGAUCAGUAGCUGGUCUGAGAGGACGAUCAGCCACACUGGGACUGAGACACGGCCCAGACUCCUACGGGAGGCAGCAGUGGGGAAUUUUGGACAAUGGGGGCAACCCUGAUCCAGCCAUUCCGCGUGAGUGAAGAAGGCCUUCGGGUUGUAAAGCUCUUUUGUCCGGAACGAAACGGUGGACGUGAAUAUCGUCCGCUACUGACGGUACCGGAAGAAUAAGCACCGGCUAACUACGUGCCAGCCGCCGCGGUAA
rnacentral:rRNA from 1 species